AGAGUUUGAUCCUGGCUCAGGACGAACGCUGGCGGCGCGCCUAACACAUGCAAGUCGAACGGAGCUUAGAGAGCUUGCUUUUUAAGCUUAGUGGCGAACGGGUGAGUAACGCGUGAGUAACCUGCCCUAGAGUGGGGGAUAACAGUUGGAAACGACUGCUAAUACCGCAUAAGCCCACGGUACCGCAUGGUACUGAGGGAAAAGGAUUUAUUCGCUUUAGGAUGGACUCGCGUCCAAUUAGCUAGUUGGUGAGGUAACGGCCCACCAAGGCGACGAUUGGUAGCCGGACUGAGAGGUUGAACGGCCACAUUGGGACUGAGACACGGCCCAGACUCCUACGGGAGGCAGCAGUGGGGGAUAUUGCACAAUGGGGGAAACCCUGAUGCAGCGACGCCGCGUGGAGGAAGAAGGUUUUCGGAUUGUAAACUCCUGUCGUUAGGGACGAUAAUGACGGUACCUAACAAGAAAGCACCGGCUAACUACGUGCCAGCAGCCGCGGUAAAACGUAGGGUGCAAGCGUUGUCCGGAAUACUGGGUGUAAAGGGAGCGCAGGCGGGAAGACAAGUUGGAAGUGAAAUGUAGACGCUCAACGUCCGCACUGCAGCGCGAACUGGUUUCCUUGAGUACGCACAAAGUGGGCGGAAUUCGUGGUGUAGCGGUGAAAUGCUUAGAUAUCACGAAGAACUCCGAUUGCGAAGGCAGCUCACUGGAGCGCAACUGACGCUGAAGCUCGAAAGUGCGGGUAUCGAACAGGAUUAGAUACCCUGGUAGUCCGCACGGUAAACGAUGGAUGCCCGCUGUUGGUCUGAACAGGUCAGCGGCCAAGCGAAAGCAUUAAGCAUCCCACCUGGGGAGUACGCCGGCAACGGUGAAACUCAAAGGAAUUGACGGGGGCCCGCACAAGCGGAGGAACAUGUGGUUUAAUUCGAUGAUACGCGAGGAACCUUACCCGGGCUUGAAUUGCAGAGGAAGGAUUUGGAGACAAUGACGCCCUUCGGGGUCUCUGUGAAGGUGCUGCAUGGUUGUCGUCAGCUCGUGCCGUGAGGUGUCGGCUUAAGUGCCAUAACGAGCGCAACCCCUCUCCUUAGUUGCCAUCAGGUUAAGCUGGGCACUCUGGGGACACUGCCACCGUAAGGUGUGAGGAAGGUGGGGAUGACGUCAAAUCAGCACGGCCCUUACGUCCGGGGCUACACACGUGUUACAAUGGCAGGUACAGAGAGACGGUUGUACGUAAGUACGAUCAAAUCCUUAAAGCCUGUCUCAGUUCGGACUGGGGUCUGCAACCCGACCCCACGAAGCUGGAUUCGCUAGUAAUCGCGCAUCAGCCAUGGCGCGGUGAAUACGUUCCCGGGCCUUGUACACACCGCCCGUCAAGCCAUGAAAGCCGGGGGCGCCUAAAGUCCGUGACCGUAAGGAGCGGCCUAGGGCGAAACUGGUAAUUGGGGCUAAGUCGUAACAAGGUA
rnacentral:rRNA from 1 species